rnacentral:lncRNA from 1 species
UCUCUCUCUCUCUAUAUAUAUAUAUAUAUAUCUCUAUGUAGGACUCCUAGUCAGUCAUCAGUCAUCUCUCUCUCUCUCUAUAUAUAUAUAUAUAUCUCUAUGUGGGACCCCUAGUCAGUCGUCAGUCCUCUCUCUCUCACUCUAUAUAUAUAUAUAUCUCUAUGUAGGACUCCUAGUCAGUCAUCAGUCAUCUCUCUCUCUCUAUAUAUAUAUAUAUAUAUAUAUCUAUGUGGGACCCCUAGUCAGUCGUCAGUCCUCUCUCUCUCUCUAUAUAUAUCUCUCUAUGUGGGACCCCUAGUCAGUCCCCUCUCUCUCUCUCUCUCUCUCUCUAUAUAUAUAUCUCUCUAUGUGGGACCCCUAGUCAGUCCCCUGUCUCUCUCUCUCUCUCUAUAUAUAUAUAUAUAUAUCUCUCUCUAUGUGGGACCCCUAGUCAGUCUCCCCUCUCUCUCUCUAUAUAUAUAUCUCUAUGUGGGACCCCUAGUCAGUCGUCAGUCCUCUCUCUCUCUCUCUAUAUAUAUCUCUCUCUCUAUGUAGGACUCCUAGUCAGUCAUCAGUCCCCUCUCUCUCUCUCUCUCUCUCUAUAUAUAUAUCUCUCUAUGUGGGACCACUAGUCAGUCACCUCUCUCUCUCUAUAUAUAUAUAUAUCUCUAUGUGGGACCCCUAGUCAGUCAUCAGUCAUCUCUCUCUCUCUCUCUCUCUCUCUAUAUAUAUAUAUAUAUAUCUCUAUGUGGGACCCCUAGUCAGUCGUCAGUCA